GACGAACGCUGGCGGCGUGCCUAACACAUGCAAGUUGAGCGACGAACCAGGGCUUGCCCUGGGGCAAAGCAGCGAACGGGUGAGUAACACGUGGGUAACCUACCCCGAUAACCGGGACAACCCGAGGAAACUCGGGCUAAUACCGGAUGUGCUCACUGGACUUCGGUUCAGUGCGUAAAGGAAGCUUCGGCCUCCGUAUCGGGAGGGGCCCGCGGCCCAUUAGUUUGUUGGUGAGGUAACGGCUCACCAAGACCGCGAUGGGUAGCUGGUCUGAGGGGACGAUCAGCCACACUGGGACUGAGACACGGCCCAGACUCCUACGGGAGGCAGCAGUGGGGAAUCUUGCGCAAUGCGCGAAAGCGUGACGCAGCAACGCCGCGUGGGGGAAGAAGGCCUUCGGGUUGUAAACCCCUUUCAGGAGGGACGAAGGUUCGGCGGUGAAUAGCCGUCCGGACUGACGGUACCUCCACAAGAAGCCCCGGCUAACUACGUG
rnacentral:rRNA from 1 species